rnacentral:rRNA from 1 species
AUUGAACGCUGGCGGCAGGCCUAACACAUGCAAGUCGAGCGGAAACGAAGGGAGCUUGCUUCCAGGCGUCGAGCGGCGGACGGGUGAGUAACACGUGAGAAUCUGCCCAUUAGUGGGGGACAACUCGGGGAAACUCGAGCUAAUACCGCAUAAUCCCUAAGGGGGAAAGCAGGGGACCUGUUGGCAUUGCGCUGAUGGAUCAGCCCACGUCGGAUUAGCUAGUUGGUAGGGUAAAGGCCUACCACGGCGACGAUCUGUAGCGGGUCUGAGAGGAUGAUCCGCCACACUGGAACUGAGACACGGUCCAGACUCCUACGGGAGGCAGCAGUGGGGAAUUUUGGACAAUGGACGCAAGUCUGAUCCAGCCAUUCCGCGUGCAGGAUGAAGGCCCUCGGGUUGUAAACUGCUUUUGUACGGAACGAAAAGGUCUCUCUUAAUACGGGGGGCUCAUGACGGUACCGUAAGAAUAAGCACCGGCUAACUACGUGCCAGCCGCCGCAGUAA